GAAAUGGUUGUCAAUCUCUUUAGUCAUUAAAACCACGAGAUAUCUCCAACUGCAUGCAAGAGCAACCUGGAGAGACUUUGACAGUUCAGGUCAGCAUAAUACCUGCAGCUGCCACUCGCCUUUCCUAUAUCU
rfam:Myotis brandtii contig312478, whole genome shotgun sequence.